rnacentral:rRNA from 1 species
UACGGAGGGGACUAGCGUUGUUCGGAAUUACUGGGCGUAAAGCGCACGUAGGCGGAUUUGUAAGUCAGGAGUGAAAUCCCGGGGCUCAACCUCGGAACUGCCUUUGAUACUGCAAAUCUCGAGUCCGGAAGAGGUGAGUGGAAUUCCUAGUGUAGAGGUGAAAUUCGUAGAUAUUAGGAAGAACACCAGUGGCGAAGGCGGCUCACUGGUCCGGUACUGACGCUGAGGUGCGAAAGCGUGGGGAGCAAACAGG